rnacentral:rRNA from 1 species
GACGAACCGUGCGAACGUUAUUCGGAAUCACUGGGCUUGAAGCGCGUGUAGGCGGGACGGCACGUCGGUCGCUGAAAUCCCCCGGCUCAACCGGGGAACGGGCGCCGAUACGACCGCCCUGGAGGGACGUAGGGGGACCUGGAACUUCCGGUGGAGCGGUGAAAUGCGUUGAGAUCGGAAGGAACGCCCGUGGCGAAAGCGAGGUCCUGGACGUUUACUGACGCUGAGACGCGAAAGCCAGGGGAGCGAACGGG